UACGGGGGGGGCAAGCGUUGUUCGGAAUUACUGGGCGUAAAGGGCGCGUAGGCGGCCUUCUAAGUCGGACGUGAAAUCCCUCGGCUUAACCGAGGAACUGCGUCUGAUACUGGAAGGCUUGAAUCCGGGAGAGGGAUGUGGAAUUCCAGGUGUAGCGGUGAAAUGCGCAGAUAUCAGGAGGAACACCAGCGGCGAAGGCGGCGCUCUGGGCCGGAACUGACGCUGAGGAGCGAAAGCGUGGGUAGCAAACAGG
rnacentral:rRNA from 1 species